AACGAACGCUGGCGGCAUGCCUAACACAUGCAAGUCGAACGAGAUCUUCGGGUCUAGUGGCGCACGGGUGCGUAACGCGUGGGAAUCUGCCCUUUGGUUCGGAAUAACAGUUGGAAACGACUGCUAAUACCGGAUGAUGACGAAAGUCCAAAGAUUUAUCGCCAGAGGAUGAGCCCGCGUAGGAUUAGCUAGUUGGUGUGGUAAAGGCGCACCAAGGCGUCGAUCCUUAGCUGGUCUGAGGGGAUGAUCAGCCACACUGGGACUGAGACACGGCCCAGACUCCUACGGGAGGCAGCAGUGGGGAAUAUUGGACAAUGGGCGAAAGCCUGAUCCAGCAAUGCCGCGUGAGUGAUGAAGGCCUUAGGGUUGUAAAGCUCUUUUACCCGGGAUGAUAAUGACAGUACCGGGAGAAUAAGCUCCGGCUAACUCCGUGCCAGCCGCCGCAGUAA
rnacentral:rRNA from 1 species